rnacentral:rRNA from 1 species
GAAUUCGCCCUUAGAGUUUGAUCCUGGCUCAGAUUGAACGCUGGCGGCAUGCUUUACACAUGCAAGUCGAACGGCAGCACGGGGGCAACCCUGGUGGCGAGUGGCGAACGGGUGAGGAAUGCACCGGAACGUAUCUUCAAGUGGGGGACAACGCAUCGAAAGGUGUGCUAAUACCGCAUAAUCUCUGAGGAGAAAAGCAGGGGAUCGCAAGACCUUGCGCUUUUGGAGCGGCCGAUGCCUGAUUAGCUUGUUGGUGAGGUAAAAGCUCACCAAGGCUCCGAUCAGUAGCUGGUCUGAGAGGACGACCAGCCACACUGGGACUGAGACACGGCCCAGACUCCUACGGGAGGCAGCAGUGGGGAAUUUUGGACAAUGGGGGCAACCCUGAUCCAGCCAUGCCGCGUGAGUGAAGAAGGCCUUCGGGUUGUAAAGCUCUUUCAGCCGGAACGAAACGGUCACGGUUAAUACCCGUGACUACUGACGGUACCGGAAGAAGAAGCACCGGCUAACUACGUGCCAGCAGCCGCGGUAAUACGUAGGGUGCGAGCGUUAAUCGGAAUUACUGGGCGUAAAGCGUGCGCAGGCGGUUUUGUAAGUCAGAUGUGAAAUCCCCGGGCUUAACCUGGGAACUGCGUUUGAAACUGCAAGGCUAGAGUGUGGCAGAGGGGGGUGGAAUUCCGCGUGUAGCAGUGAAAUGCGUAGAGAUGUGGAGGAACACCGAUGGCGAAGGCAGCCCCCUGGGUCAACACUGACGCUCA